rnacentral:rRNA from 1 species
UACGUAGGGUGCAAGCGUUACUCGGAAUUACUGGGCGUAAAGCGUGCGCAGGCGGUUGUGCAAGACAGAUGUGAAAUCCCCGGGCUUAACCUGGGAACUGCAUUUGUGACUGCAUGGCUAGAGUUUGGCAGAGGGGGGUAGAAUUCCACGUGUAGCAGUGAAAUGCGUAGAUAUGUGGAGGAACACCGAUGGCGAAGGCAGCCCCCUGGGUCAAGACUGACGCUCAUGCACGAAAGCGUGGGGAGCAAACAGG